rnacentral:lncRNA from 1 species
GACGUGCAUGUGCUUGUAAUAUGACCUAAUUAGAAUCCAUGAUCAUCACCUAUUUAAAGUUUAGCUUUAUUCAUUACUGCGAUUAUAACUGCCUGCGAUGUGCCGUUUGCAUGUGAUGUGAAUGAGAGCGGGGUAGAUAGGUUUACAUGUGAUGUAGCAAACCCAAUGAGACCUAAACUAAAACCUCCUCAAUCAAGUCGAGAGUGAACCAACAUGAGCGAGUCAUAUUAGAUUAAUUAAUCUAAUUGGUAUCUAGGAAAGCAUGAAAGGUGGUUACUUAAUUAGGACCUUACUCUCUGAGUAAGGGGAGCCUCCCACCUGCUUACCUGGCCAAUUAUUCGAUUACCUCUUAUGAAGAGCUCAAGAUUGCAAACACUAAGACAUGAUUAACCAAUAUU